rnacentral:rRNA from 1 species
CGGGGCCCAUCCCGUAAGGCUAAAUACUCCCGAGAGACCGAUAGCGAACCAGUACCGUGAGGGAAAGGUGAAAAGAACCCCGAGCAGGGGAGUGAAAUAGACCCUGAACCCGUCUGCCUACAAGCGGUCGGAGCAUCGUCAAGAUGUGACGGCGUGCCUUUUGCAUAAUGAACCUACGAGUUACCUUCCCCGGCAAGGUUAAGUACCUAAGGUACGGAGCCGAAGCGAAAGCGAGUCUGAAGAGGGCGGCCAGUCGGGGGGGGUAGACGCGAAACCGAGUGAUCUACCCUUGGCCAGGUUGAAGGUUGGGUAACACCAACUGGAGGACCGGAUGGGUAAGCGUUGAAAAGCUUUCCAAUGAGCUGAGGGUAGGGGUGAAAGGCUAAUCAAACUCGGAGAUAGCUCGUACUCCCCGAAAUGCAUUUAGGUGCAGCCUCUUUAUAGUAUAUCGUGAGGUAGAGCGACUGAUUGGAUGCGAGGGCUUCACCGCCUAUCAAGUCCAGAUAAACUCCGAAUGCGCGAUAUAUAUUUAAAGGGAGUGAGGGCGCGGGUGCUAAGGUCCGUGUCCGAGAGGAGAAGAAUCCAGACCACCGGCUAAGGCCCCCAAAUGAUCGUUGAGUUGAACUAACGAGGUCGGAUCGCAGAGACAGCUAGGAUGUUGGCUUGGAAGCAGCCAUUCAUUUAAAGAGUGCGUAACAGCUCACUAGUCGAGCGAUCUGGCGUGGAUAAUAAUCGGGCAUAAACGAUCUGCCGAAGCCGUGGAUGUCGUAAGACAUGGUAGGGGAGCAUUCCAUGCGGCGUCGAAGAUGAGGGAUGACCCUUGUUGGAGCGCAUGGAAAAGCAAAUGUAGGUAUGAGUAACGAUAAGGGGGGCGAGAAACCCCCCCGCCGAAAGACCAAGGUUUCCUGAUCAACGCUAAUCGGAUCAGGGUGAGUCGGGACCUAAGGCAAAGCCGAACGGCGACGCCGAUGGAAGAAUGGGUUAAUAUUCCCAUACUGCCUCAUGGAGUGACGUGGAGACGGAGAAGUGACAGUCCUGCCGGCUGACGGAAUAGCCGGUUGAAGGGUGUAGAUAUUGAUUCCCGUAGGCAAAUCCGCGGGGAGAGUCGAACCUGACAGUAUACGGAGCGCUUGCGCGACGUAAUAUGGACGUAACCAUGCUCCCAAGAAAAUCCGCUAAACUUAUCCAUGCGGCACCCGUACCGUAAACGGACACACGUGGUCGGGUUGAGAAUACUGAGGCGCUCGAGUGACUCACGGUUAAGGAACUAGGCAAAUUGACCCUGUAACUUCGGGAUAAAGGGUCCUCGUCGUAAGGCGAGGCGCAGAGAAUAGGUCCAGGCAACUGUUUAACAAAAACACAUGGCUGUGCUAAAUGGAAACAUGACGUAUACAGCCUGACACCUGCCCGGUGCUGGAAGGUUAAGAGGAGAUGUCAUCGCAAGAGAAGCGUUGAAUUGAAGCCCCAGUAAACGGCGGCCGUAACUAUAACGGUCCUAAGGUAGCGAAAUUCCUUGUCGGGUAAGUUCCGACCUGCACGAAUGGUGUAAUGAUCUGGACACUGUCUCAACCGUGAGCUCAGUGAAAUUGUAGUAUCGGUGAAGAUGCCGAUUACCCGCGAUGGGACGAAAAGACCCCGUGAACCUUUACUAUAGCUUUACAUUGAAUUUGGGCAGACGAUGUGUAGGAUAGGCCGGAGGCUUUGAAGGGGGUACGCCAGUAUCCUUGGAGCCGCCGUUGAAAUACGGCCCUUCGGUUGUUUGAGUUCUAACUCCUAGGCAGGAGGACACUGUAUGGUGGGUAGUUUGACUGGGGUGGUCGCCUCCAAAAGCGUAACGGAGGCUUCUAAAGGUGCCCUCAGACCGAUUGGUAACCGGUCGCAGAGUGUAAUGGCAUAAGGGCGCUUGACUGGGAGACAGACAAGUCGAUCAGGUAGGAAACUAGAGCAUAGUGAUCC